GGGCCCGUAGCUCAGUGGUAGAGCAGCCGGCUCAUAACCGGCGGGUCCCAGGUUCGAUUCCUGGCGGGCCCACCA
rnacentral:tRNA from 1 species